rnacentral:rRNA from 1 species
UACAGAGGUCUCAAGCGUUGUUCGGAUUCAUUGGGCGUAAAGGGUGCGUAGGCGGCGGGGUAAGUCGGGUGUGAAAUCUCGGAGCUUAACUCCGAAACUGCAUUCGAUACUACCGUGCUUGAGGACUGGAGAGGAGACUGGAAUUUACGGUGUAGCGGUGAAAUGCGUAGAUAUCGUAAGGAAGACCAGUGGCGAAGGCGGGUCUCUGGACAGUUCCUGACGCUGAGGCACGAAGGCCAGGGGAGCAAACGGG